UCUUAUGGAUGAACAGAGAAAGUGGCUUGUUGAGGGGGAAUCUACUUCUGGUGAAGAUGCUGUGAA
rnacentral:pre_miRNA from 1 species